rnacentral:lncRNA from 1 species
AGACAACAGCGAAAUGUUCAAUUUGCUGAUUGAAUUUGGUACAAAAUUUAUUGGUAUCAAUUUACAGGACACGGUACGUUAUACAUAUGUUAUAUAGCAAACCAAAAACUGCAUUCACAUGAAUGAUCGAUCAAAUAUCGAUACCGGACGUGGUAUGUGUCGUAUUUUAUAAGGCAACACAAAGCAAGAAAAAAAUGAAGCUAUACAGAUUUUGUUGAUUGGUAUGAUCGUCGACGUUAUCAGUGGUUGCAUAAUGUUUAAAGUAAUGAAAAUGUUACUAUGUUUAUUUGAUCUAUGAGUUUGACUGUCCUUCUGGUAUUGUUCGCCCUUCUUUCAUAACAAAGUAUCUAUAUCUAAGACAAAAAAGUUAGUUUAUAAUAUUUAUAAACAUGAUUUUAACUCUGUUCUUAUUACUUUGUAGAGACAAAAUUUAUAUCAAAUUAAAAUACUUAUUACAUUCAAUGACAGAGGUUGAAUAUAUAUAAGGGGAUCCGGAUAACAAAAUAUCCUUAAGGAACAAGAGUUCCAUUUGAGUUCUGAAUUACAAUUUGAGAAUAACGUUUACAUAUAGAUGUUAGGUGCCUAAAUUAUACUUAUAGGAACUACUAUAACUUUACGGUAUGCACGAUCUUAAGAACGAACACGAACAACUGUCAACGCUCGCUUUAUCAUCACGAAGAAAGGAAUUAUCAUCUCCUUCAUCAUAUAAAUUGGAUCAUAUUGCUAAUUUCUUGUCAUGAUUUUUACACUGCGUGUAUUUCAUUCUGUUGAAUUAAACGUGAUUAGUUCACACUUAUACAUGGAAUAUUUCAACAUACAGUGGUAGUUGUUUUAAUCUUAAAUAAAAAUGUCAAAUGAACAAACAAUGUUUAAAAGUCAAUAACAAAAAUAUAAAACUGUAAGGCAAAUUCAAAACGAAAAUCACUUAUACAGUAUCAAAAUCAAAAGUUCAAAACAUUUCAAACGAAUCGAAGACAACUAUUUUAUUCUUGACUUGGUACAGGCAUAUCGUUAAUGAAGGUCGCAUAAGAUUACAUUAUAUUGACAACAAUGUGCAUAAGGUGCCCGUAUUUACAAUUCCGUAAAUAUUUUUUACAAAUCGAGGAUUUAGAUAAGUGUUACAACAAGGAGAUAAUCAUUUGUAUGUGUUCGACAUCUGACUUUCGUUUUGAAAUGAAUUGACAUAUUCGUCAGCAUAAAUUUGUUUAUAACUAUUUAUAUGAUUAAUUAGGGGUCACGCAAGCCGAGUUGUCUAAGUAGUGAAACUACUGCAUAUCAACACAGAGGUUGCCUGUUCAAAUCCUCCUCAUGGCAUGUGCACUCGACUCCAAACUUAAUUGACUACGAUUGUCAGUUUUACUUCGGAAGGUUGGUGGUACUCACAGGGCACUCUGGCUUCCUACAUCAAUAAAAAAAAUUAUCACAACAAAUUUAACAAAUGUGUAUAAAUAGCCUUUAAGACUAAUUAAUCAAUCUAUUAAUUAGUCAAUGUAAACUAAAUGUUUUUGAGUUUAACGAAUGGUUCUUAUAUUGGAAGUCGUGAUCAACGUACAAAUUUAAUAAACAGGUUCUAAUACUUAGUACCUAAUACUAGAGCAUUUGCAUUAUUCACGUAUCAGGAUACGUGCACGGAUCGACGUAUACGUAUCGAACAGAUUUGUUUACAAUAAUGAUUUUACCCCGAUCUCAAUUAAAAUAAAAUGCAUUAUAUAAUAUUUUCAUCGGGACCAACUUGACUUAAUUUGUCCUUUCCUCAUAUACGUGUUAUACGAUACGUCGAUACGGAUACGCCAGCAAAUACUUGAUUAAUGCAAAUGCUCUACUAGUAUACAAUCAAUCGACAUACGACUAUUAUCCAUCUAAUAAUAUAGCGGUUUUAAAUAUAACGUAAAUAGGUUUUUUUUCCUAAUCUAAACUUCAAUUUCGUUUUACCACUUUUUAAGGUUGGAAACACUGUGCUUCAUGUAGCUGCAAACAAAGAUCCGCAGAUGGUCACAUAUUUGCUAAACAAUAAUUGUGAUCUAAACAUACAAAAUGCUAAAGUAAGUAUCAGGAGAAUAUACUAUUGUAACUGAUUUGAGAUUAUAACAGAGGUCAAAUCUAUGUUAACGCCAUACGCAUUUUAAGUGAAACCUUUGUAUUACUGUAGAUUCAUUUCUUUUUGUGGGUAUCAAUUUUCGUGGAAUGAGGAUAAACUUGCAUUUUCGUGGAUAUUUGAUUACGUGCUUUUUCAAAUCUGUAAAUACAAAUCCUAAAGAAUAUUGAUAAUUCGCUGAACAUUUGAAUUCGUGUUUUACCUAAUGACACGAAAUCCACGAUCAUUGGUAUGCAACCAAUAAUAAUGAAUUUACAGUAAGUCUUCUGGCUCGUUCGAAAAUUUAUCGGGGAUUGAUCGAUUUGAAUUUAAUCCAACGUUUCUGCGAAUAACAUUUUAAAAAUAAUGUGGGGAUUAUUUCAAUCUUGGUCAGGUGCUAUUGAAUAAAAAAAAAAUGACCAUAAUUUAGGUAGCAAUACACAGUUAAAAGUGUGGUUUCGCAUUUUGUCCCCUGUUGAUUUAUUUAGUUUUAGACAGCUGAGUACUAAUUUAGCCUUUAAAGUUGGUUUAAAAGAAUAUAAAGAGUACUUUUGUAUACUGUAAAUUCAUAAAUUAAUGCGCGGUUUUUAUUAUUGCAAAAAUUCUCAUUUUGAAAUAUUUAUAUGAAUUAAACAGGAUUGUUCUCAAAAUCGUAAAAGCUAAAUUGCAUUUAAGUCUAAAAUGACAGAUUCACAAUAAUAAAUGCAUGCAAUAAUUUUUGAAUUUACAGUAUGUUGUAUGUGCUAUUUUCUGUUUGACUGUGCGUAUCUUCAUAGCUUAACCUGCCAUAGGUCCAGACAUUAAUAUAAUGUUUACAAAUACUUUUUUAAACAGUUUGUUUAGCAAUUUAACAAUAAAAGAGACGAACGAGAUAUGAUUUUUACUUGAUUUCUUGAUAGAUAAAAUGUAAACAGUUUUUAAAAUGGUAUCACUCCAAUAUAUCUUUACCCCCCCUUCCUUUUUGCAUUAUUUUAUAGCAAAUAAAUGCAGAUUGUUGCCAUGAUAUGGAUACACCAAAGGAAAAUUAUGAUAUAUAAUUUGUACUACUAUAUAUCAAAUAUAUGGUAGAAAAUGACACAUAUAUGGCAAAACAGUACACUCAAUUUGUAAGUAAGCAAGAAAAAAUGAAUUGUAAAAUUUUUGUCCUUUUUGACGUAUUUGUUUGUAGUGAUUCAUGUGACGUUGCUCGAUACUUGUACAUCUUAUCAUUGUGCAAGGUAGCAAUACACAGUUAGGAGUGUGGUUUCGCAUUUUGCUCCCUGUGGAUUUUUCAAAAAUGAAAGUUAUUGAGCAAUAAAAAUAUUUUUUUAAUAAUAAUAAUAAUAAUAAUGAAAAUUUAUCAAGCGCCCUAUAUAAAAAAAAAAAUACUCUAAGGUGAUGUGUACUAAUUAAGCCUUCAAAAUUGGUUUAUUAGAAAAUAUAGAGUAUUUUUUACAUGUUUUAUGGGCUCAUUUCUGUUUGACUGUGCGUUUUUUCAUAGCUAGAUCGACCAUGGGUUCAGACAUUAUUGUCAUGUUUACAAAAGCUUUUUAUGUACAGGAAGUUUUUACGCAAUUUUACAAAACAACGAGACGAUAACCAUAUGAUUUUUAUUUGAUUUCUUGAUAGACAUUUGUAAACAAUUUUCAAAAAGGUUUCACUCCAUGGGAUUGAAACUCUACUUCUGUCAAAAUCUUUGGCAAAACAAUUGUAGUUACCUCAAGCUAUGACUUAAAAUAACCACAAAAAGCCGACUGCUGAUAAAAUCAACUUUAGGAAAAAUCAUACAGGAUAUAGAUGAUAAAUUUGGUUGAACUAACAUUUUAAUGUCGAAUAGCCCUGAACAAAUUAUAAUGCACGAUGAUUAACCCUUUUUCAAAAUCCUUUGAAUCUAUCUCGCAUUCAACUGUAGUCACUGCUGUAUGCAAAAUAGCAGCGUCAAAUUAAAGAAAUCUGUUGACUGGACUGACGAAGAAACAAGUAUAUGAAAUCCAUCUGGUGCCGAUGAUACUUUUCACAGACGACCAUUACAUGGCCACCAAUAUUUUACAAUUGAUUCGAUAUUCCCGGCCUAGUAUGUCCUAUCUACUUUUUUACUAUUUACUUGAUCAUUUGUUGAUAGAGGGUAACUGCCCACAAUGAAGCUUUUGAACAAAGAAUUCCAAAAAGUGAAGUAUAAAUCAUCCCUUCGUAAAUUCACUGACCCAUAACGAGUUGUUUGACCGUUAUGGAAUAACCGUUUCACUGAUUAUAACGGAUGUGUUUCUAAUGUCGUAACGACAAUCCCGUCCCCUUUUCACGAAUGUGUCCUACCGAAUUAGACUUAAGCUUGUAACCGGUUUUUUUUAUAACAUGAACAACACAACGGGUGCCAUUUGUGGAGCAGGAUCAGCUAACCAUUCCAGAGCCCCUACGAUCACCCCUAGUUGUUGGUUGGGUUCGUGUUGCUUAGUCUUUACUUUUCUAUGUUGUGUUUUGUGUACUAAUGUUUGUCUGCUUGUCCUUUUUUUAAGCUAUGGCGUAGACAGUUUAUUUUCAAUUUAUGUGUUGACUGUCCAUCAGAGAGUUGCUCUACACAAUUAUUUAUUACUAUAUGGAAACAUAUACAAGUUUGUCUUUACCAUGUAUUGUCAACAAUUCGAAGGGCUCUUUGGUAUAAUCAAACAAAUGGCGCACAUUCGAAGAAGUGGUAGGAGCAAUAAAUUGACACCAUUUUAACAUUUAAGACAAGACAUCGAGUUUCUUCGGUGACACAUUGCAAUGCUUAUAGCGAAUAGACUUUUAGUUAUAACCGGUGUAUUUUUCUUAUCGGAUAUGCAUCAACGUAUAACUGACAAACUAUUGAGUAUAAACAUAUACCGUUUGCUCAUUACACAGAAUUAACGUCCGUAGGAAAUUCAAAAAUUGACAAGAUUGAAAAUGUUACACAUAAUCGAUGUGUUGUAAUAUCUAAUUAAAAGAAAACUUGUUUGAUUUAGUGGAAAAGACCAGUAGAAUAUGCAGAAAGCGACGCC